AGUGAACGCUGGCGGUAGGCCUAACACAUGCAAGUCGAACGGCAGCACAGUAAGAGCUUGCUCUUACGGGUGGCGAGUGGCGGACGGGUGAGGAAUACAUCGGCAUCUACUUUUUCGUGGGGGAUAACGUAGGGAAACUUACGCUAAUACCGCAUACGACCUACGGGUGAUAGCAGGGGAUCUUCGGACCUUGCGCGACUGAAUGAGCCGAUGUCGGAUUAGCUAGUUGGCGGGGUAAAGGCCCACCAAGGCGACGAUCCGUAGCUGGUCUGAGAGGAUGAUCAGCCACACUGGAACUGAGACACGGUCCAGACUCCUACGGGAGGCAGCAGUGGGGAAUAUUGGACAAUGGGCGCAAGCCUGAUCCAGCCAUACCGCGUGGGUGAAGAAGGCCUUCGGGUUGUAAAGCCCUUUUGUUGGGAAAGAAAAGCAGCAGGUUAAUACCCCGCUGUUCUGACGGUACCCAAAGAAUAAGCACCGGCUAACUUCGUG
rnacentral:rRNA from 1 species